CAAAACCCACCUCACCCCCACCGAAACCCAACCCACAUCACCGCCUCAAACACCCACCACCACAGCCAAAAUCCACCUCACCGCCCCCAAAUCGACUUACCACCACCCAAAUCGGAGCCACCAGAUCAGAUCAGGGGAAAGGAAGCCCCUUUUCGCACAUUCAAGUCUCCCUUUCAACAAGAUCGGACAUGCAAGGCUCAGAAUUUUUUUUUUUUCCUAUGUAAAUAUCAG
rnacentral:lncRNA from 1 species